rnacentral:rRNA from 1 species
GUUUGAUCCUGGCUCAGAACGAACGCUGGCGGCAGGCUUAACACAUGCAAGUCGAACGCUCGUAGCAAUACGGGAGUGGCAGACGGGUGAGUAACGCGUGGGAACAUACCCUCCGGUUCGGAAUAGCUCAGGGAAACUUGGAUUAAUACCGGAUACGGCUGAGAGGCGAAAGAUUUAUCGCCGGAGGAUUGGCCCGCGUUCGAUUAGCUUGUUGGUGAGGUAACGGCUCACCAAGGCGAUGAUCGAUAGCUGGUCUGAGAGGAUGAUCAGCCACAUUGGGACUGAGACACGGCCCAAACUCCUACGGGAGGCAGCAGUGGGGAAUAUUGGACAAUGGGCGCAAGCCUGAUCCAGCCAUGCCGCGUGAGUGAUGACGGCCUUAGGGUUGUAAAGCUCUUUCGCUCGGGACGAUAAUGACGGUACCGAGAUAAGAAGCCCCGGCUAACUUCGUGCCAGCAGCCGCGGUAAUACGAAGGGGGCUAGCGUUGUUCGGAAUUACUGGGCGUAAAGCGCGUGUAGGCGGGUCUUUAAGUCAGGGGUGAAAUGCCAAGGCUCAACCUUGGAACUGCCUUUGAUACUGGAGAUCUUGAGUCCGGGAGAGGUGAGUGGAAUUGCGAGUGUAGAGGUGAAAUUCGUAGAUAUUCGCAAGAACACCAGUGGCGAAGGCGGCUCACUGGCCCGGAACUGACGCUGAGACGCGAAAGCGUGGGGAGCAAACAGGACUAGAUACCCUGGUAGUCCACGCUGUAAACGAUGGAUGCUAGCCGUUGGGGAGCUUGCUCUUCAGUGGCGCAGCUAACGCUUUAAGCAUCCCGCCUGGGGAGUACGGUCGAAAGAUUAAACUCAAAGGAUUGACGGGGGCCCGCACAAGCG